AGCAGAGGACACCGCUUCGGCGGUGUAAUGCAACAGUCCGGUUCCAAGUCCGG
rnacentral:ribozyme from 1 species